rnacentral:rRNA from 1 species
GACUCUUAGCGGUGGAUCACUCGGCUCGUGCGUCGAUGAAGAACGCAGCUAGCUGCGAGAAUUAAUGUGAAUUGCAGGACACAUUGAUCAUCGACACUUCGAACGCAAGUGCCCCGGGUUAUGUAGUAAUUGUAU